GGCACCAUGGCGGAGGGGUUAACGCGUCAGACUUGAACUGGCUAACAAAGUCAUCUGAUUCCUUCGGGAGCGCAAGUUCGAAUCUUGCUGGUGUCG